rnacentral:rRNA from 1 species
UACGUAGGUGGCAAGCGUUGUCCGGAUUUACUGGGCGUAAAGAGCGCGCAGGAGGUCGAGUAAGUCGAAUGUGAAAGCCCCCGGCUUAACUGGGGAGGGUCAUUCGAUACUGUUCGACUUGAAGGCAGGAGAGGGCAGCAGAAUUCCCGGUGUAGUGGUGAAAUGCGUAGAUAUCGGGGGGAAUACCAGUGGCGAAGGCGGCUGCCUGGCCUGUUCUUGACGCUGAGGCGCGAAAGCUGGGGGAGCAAACGGG